rnacentral:lncRNA from 1 species
UGCGAUGUUUGAAAUGCAUGGCCCUGGCUGUGUCCCUCUUACACUGUCUAGUGGACAGGACAGCAUCUGAUGUUAACUUUUCCUGGUAUCAUUGAUGACAUGGACUUAAUUUCUUCACAGGAAACCUUGCUAACUUUGAAAAAUGAGUUGGCUGUGACUGUGGAACUCUUUCUGGGUUCUCUGUACCAUGUUUGGGUGCAGUUGAAGCUCGAGCAGUCAGGUGGUCUCCACCCUAUUUUUAUUCUGACAAUCGACGUCUCUUGGUUCCAUGCAUAUUUCCUUACUCCUAUUUCUUUAGGAUGAUAAACAGGUUUUCGUUUGAUACUCAGCUUUUUUCCCUAGGUGCAUGUUGAUUCCUAUAAACUCUAGCACUGCUUCCGCUGUA